rnacentral:lncRNA from 1 species
ACCACGUCGUCGCCUUCGUAGUCCAAAUGCUGAGCAUGCAGGUCAUUCAUCUCAAGAUGAGCGUGCACAUGCGGUAAGUUUUUUUUUAUUGUUAUGUGAUUAAACAAUAUAUUUAACAAGUUUAAUUUAUUUUGAAAUUGGUGCAGGGUAUAUUUAGGCGCAUUGUUAGUAUCCUCCAGCGCAUGAUAGAUUGUCGUCAGGUCACUGCAGGCACUGACGCAUAUGAGAGUACGGAGGCAGCGCUGCAGUUAGCCCGGAGUGUGACAGAUGACGGGGCAGUUUACACGAGACGAUCACGUAAUGUUCGUGGACGUCAUUGAUAUUUUUUUA